rnacentral:rRNA from 1 species
CUGAUCCAGCAAUGCCGCGUGUGUGAAGAAGGCCUUCGGGUUGUAAAGCACUUUUGUCCGGAAAGAAAUGGCUCUGGUUAAUACCUGGGGUCGAUGACGGUACCGGAAGAAUAAGGACCGGCUAACUACGUGCCAGCAGCCGCGGUAAUACGUAGGGUCCAAGCGUUAAUCGGAAUUACUGGGCGUAAAGCGUGCGCAGGCGGUUGUGCAAGACCGAUGUGAAAUCCCCGAGCUUAACUUGGGAAUUGCAUUGGUGACUGCACGGCUAGAGUGUGUCAGAGGGGGGUAGAAUUCCACGUGUAGCAGUGAAAUGCGUAGAGAUGUGGAGGAAUACCGAUGGCGAAGGCAGCCCCCUGGGAUAACACUGACGCUCAUGCACGAAAGCGUGGGGAGCAAACAGGAUUAGAUACCCUGGUAGUCCACGCCCUAAACGAUGUCAACUAGUUGUUGGGGAUUCAUUUCCUUAGUAACGUAGCUAACGCGUGAAGUUGACCGCCUGGGGAGUACGGUCGCAAGAUUAAAACUCAAAGGAAUUGACGGGGACCGCACAAGCGGUGGAUGAUGUGGAUUAAUUCGAUGCAACGCGAAAAACUUACCUACCCUUGACAUGCCACUAACGAAGCAGAGAUGCAUUAGUGCUCGAAGAAAGUGGAACAGUGCUGAUGGUGUCGUCAGGUCUGUGGGAAAGUGGGUAAUCCCAAAAGC